UCCUCCAAUGAAAUCGUCUCUGCUCUCUCAUUUGGCGGCUUUUCUGAGCAAAUAUGACAGCCUUUUCUCCAGGCUCCUUUCCGCUCCUCUCCACGUCCAUCCCCAGAGCCCUGCUCUCCAUCUGCAGUUUCUGCAUCAGAACCUUUACAGUUACCACCCAGUCCCAUCCCCGCAAGUAAAGGAUCGCUGGAAAAGUGGCACAAGACACGCUGGGAAGAGCGCAGUGCUGCUUUCAAUGGCCGAAGAUGCCCGAUGCCCGUUUUUCCAGACUGUCAACCUGUCGGCGUGGAAAGCUGAGUUAAACAGAAAAAGAGACACCUGAGGACAGAUGCAUUUGAAUUAUGGGAUGAAGAGGAUUCACUACCAGGAGUUCAGUGCCCACUGACCAGGCUAUUUAGUAAAAUAUUCAAUGGAACAUAAAAAGUUGUGAAAUGAUAAAAAAUGGAAUCUACUCAUCAAUGAGAAGAAAUUAACUCUGGUAAACACAACUGCGUGAUUGAAAUCUCCCAAAUACAUUUCUGAGCAAAAGCAGCCAGAUAAGUGAGAAUACAUCAUAUGUUAGUGGCAUACUUGACAUUGGGAGUGGAUGAGUUUGAAGACAACUCUGGUAUAUGAAAAGUCUUUUCAGUGAUGUGGGUGUAAUAUUUUAUAAUAUGCUUGAUCAUCUAUUAUUAUUCCCCAUUGCCUUAUCUUUGCUAAUUCUCUAUUUUCUUGAUUUGUCCAUUUUUGAGAGAAAGAGAGCUAUUGAAAUCUCCAAAUAUAGUUCUGGAUAUGCCCAUUUACUCAGCACAUUCAUUUUGCUUUAUGUGUUUUGAAGGCUUGUUAUUAGAUGAACGAACAUUUGCGUUGUUAUGUCCUCCUGAUGAAUUAUUAUGAAAUCAUAUCUUUUAUCACUGGUAAUAUUCUUUGCUCUAAGUUACU